AGGGCGUACGGCGGAUGCCUUGGCCAUAUCAGCCGAAGAAGGACGCGAUAAGCUGCGAUAAGCUGCGGUGAGGUGCAAGUAACCAGUGACCCGCAGAUUUCCGAAUGGGGAAACCCGGCAGUAGUAGUACUGUCACCUCUCGUAUGGGAGGAGGGCACCCGGUGAACUGAAACAUCUAAGUAGCCGGAGGAAGAGGAAUCAAAAGAGAUGCCCCCAGUAGCGGCGAGCGAAGCGGGCAAAGCCCAAACCGGAGCGGGAAACCGCACCGGGGUUGAGGACUACCAACAAGUACCUAGAUGAAGUCGAAUCAGGUGGGAACCUGAGCCAGAGACGGUGAGAGCCCGGUAGACGUAAAGAAGGGUAUGGGGUAGUAUCCAGAGUACCACGGGGCACGAGGAACCUUGUGGGAAGCAGGGGGGACCACCCUCCAAGGCGAAAUACUGAUAUGGACCGAUAGCGCAUAGUACCGUGAGGGAAAGGUGAAAAGAACCCCGGGAGGGGAAUGAAAGAGAACCUGAAACCGUAUGUCUACAAGCAGUCGAAGCACCGUAUGCGUGCGACGGCGUGCCUAUUGAAGAAUGAACCGGCGAGUUAUUUCAUCCGGCGAGGUUAAGCGGAAGACGCGGAGCCGAAGCGAAAGCGAGUCUGAAUAGGGCGACAAGUCGGAUGGAAUAGACCCGAAACCACAGUGAUCUAUCCAUGCCCAGGUUGAAGCACAGGUAAAAAUGUGUGGAGGACCGAACCAGUGAGCGUUGAAAAGCUUUUGGAUGAGGUGUGGAUAGGGGUGAAAUGCCAAUCGAACGUGGAGAUAGCUGGUUCUCCCCGAAAUAGCUUUAGGGCUAGCCUCAUGGCAAGAGUGCAGGCGGUAGAGCACUGAACAGGGUAGGGGCCUAUCCGGCUACCGAACCUAAUCAAACUACGAAUGGCUGUACUUAUCCAUGGGAGUCAGACUGCGAGUGAUAAGACCCGUAGUCAAGAGGGAAACAGCCCAGACCAACAGCUAAGGUCCCCAAUGCCGUACUAAGUGGUAAAGGAUGUGGAGUUUCGAAAACAACCAGGAUGUUGGCUUAGAAGCAGCCACCAUUAAAAGAGUGCGUAAUAGCUCACUGGUCGAGAGACUCUGCGCCGAAGAUGACCGGGGCUAAAGUACGGAACCGAAGCUUUGGCAUGUAUGUAAAUACAUGGGUAGGGGAGCGUUCCUGCAUGGGCGAAGCCUGACCGGAAGGACAGGUGGACAGGCAGGAAGUGAGAAUGCCGGUAUGAGUAGCGAAAAGAAAGGUGAGAAUCCUUUCCACCGAAAGCCUAAGGGUUCCUGGGCAACGAUCGUCGACCCAGGGUAAGUCGGGACCUAAUCCGAGGCGAAGACGCAUAGGAGAUGGACAACAGGUUGAAAUUCCUGUACCGACGUCGUCUGUUUGAGCGAUGGAGUGACACAAGAAGGAAAGUUCGCAUGCGAUUGGAAGAGCAUGUCUAAGCAGGUAGGUUGAAUACCAGGCAAAUCCGGUAUUCUAAAAGCCGAGAAGUGAUAGGGAGCCUGUAGAAAUACAGGUGAAGGAACCGGGACUCGAUUGUCAAGAAAAGCUUCUAGUGAGGACGACGCCGCCCGUACCAAAACCGACACAGGUAGGCAAGAAGAGAAUUCUAAGGUGCGCGGGAAAACCCUCGUUAAGGAACUCGGCAAAAUGUAUCCGUAACUUCGGGAAAAGGAUAACCCAGAGUACGUGAAGGAUAGAAACAUCCGGAGCGGGAAUGGGUGGCACAAGAGAGGCCCAAGCGACUGUUUACCACAAACACAGGCGUCUGCUAAAGAGAAAUCUGAUGUAUAGAUGCUGACACCUGCCCGGUGCUGGAAGGUUAAGAGGACGUGUUAGCCGCAAGGCGAAGCAGAGAAUUGAAGCCCCAGUAAACGGCGGCCGUAACUAUAACGGUCCUAAGGUAGCGAAAUUCCUUGUCGGGUAAGUUCCGACCCGCACGAAAGGUGUAACGAUUUGGGCACUGUCUCAACGAGGGACCCGGUGAAAUUGAAGUACCUGUGAAGAUGCAGGUUACCCGCGACUGGACAGAAAGACCCCAUGGAGCUUUACUGUAACCUGAGAUUGAAUUUUGGUAGAAGAUGUACAGGAUAGUUGGGAGACGUAGAAGCGCGCACGCCAGUGUACGCAGAGUCGAUGGUGGGAUACCAACCUUGUUUUAUUGAAAUUCUAACGAGAGCCGUAACGAGGCUGCGGACAGUCUCAGGCGGGCAGUUUGACUGGGGCGGUCGCCUCCGAAAGAG
rnacentral:rRNA from 1 species